rnacentral:rRNA from 1 species
UAUCUCUGUAGAGUCUGCAUAUCAAUAAGCGGAGGAAAAGAAACUAACUAGGAUUCCCUCAGUAACGGCGAGUGAAGCGGGAAGAGCUCAAAUUUGAAAUCUUCAAGGUUCUACCUUGACGAAUUGUAGUUUAAAGAAGUGUUUUCUGUUGGUGUUUUGGUAAAAGUUCUUUGGAAUAGGACAUCAUAGAGGGUGAGAAUCCCGUAUUUGACCAUUACUUCCAGCGUUGUGAUACACUUUCAAAGAGUCGGAUUGUUUGGGAAUGCAGUCCAAAAUGGGUGGUAAAUUUCAUCUAAAGCUAAAUACUGGCGAGAGACCGAUAGCGAACAAGUACCGUGAGGGAAAGAUGAAAAGAACUUUGAAAAGAGAGUUAAACAGUACGUGAAAUUGUCAAAAGGGAAGCGUUUGACACCAGUGUUGUUUUCUCGAAAAUCAAUUAAAAAAGGCAGGAUUUUGUGUUGUAUUGACUUUAUCAGCUUUCUGCACUCUUUUCUUGUCUUUUUUAAUGCACUUUUCGUUUAACAAGUCAGCAUCAAUUUCUUUUGUUGUAAAAGGGUCAUUGGAAGGUGGCUUUCUUUUCGGAGAAAGUGUUUAUAGCCUUUGGCCUCUGCAAUCGGAGAGAUUGAGGUCUGCAGCGUAGAUCCUUCGGGGUUAGAUACAUUUGUGCUAAGUUAUAGCCUUUCAUAGACAACUUGCUGACUAUGAUCAGUCAUGUAGCUUACUCGCUUAUGCUAUUUUACCUACGCUUAGGAUGUUGACGAUCAGCUGAGCGCG